AAGGAGGAGAACGAGGAAGAGGAUGAUGAUGAUGAUGCCGAGGAUGCCGGAAUCGCUAACGGAAGGAGAAGCAGGAGGAGAACGAGGAAGAGGAUGAUGUUGAAGCCGAGGAUGCCAAAGUCGGCAAUGGUAGCAUUGCGAUAUGCAGUGUGAUUCACACGUCGUGUCGGGAGUGCCGUGUAAAGUGUCGGGCGAUCGUAAUUCGUGUUUUCGCGAGUGUCGCGAGU